rnacentral:rRNA from 1 species
UUGUCGAAACCUGCCACGCAGAACGACCCGCGAACUAGUUUAAAAAAACAGAUGACGAUCUGGCCUCUUGGCCACGACGAUUAUCACCCAUUGCCAGUUGGAAUGUCGUUUUGCGCUUGCGCACCUUUUCGGUAGGAAAGUGGUAAGCACGACGACGUUUCCCUGGCAAUAAAAAAAAAAAACUAACCCCGGCGCAGAUCGCGCCAAGGAACUCGAACGAAUGAGCGUGCCCUCCUUGGCCCGGAUACGGUGUCCUCGUGGGGGUUACGUGGUCUUCGAUACGUAAAAAAAUGACUCUCGGCAACGGAUAUCUCGGCUCUCGCAUCGAUGAAGAACGUAGCGAAAUGCGAUACUUGGUGUGAAUUGCAGAAUCCCGUGAACCAUCGAGUCUUUGAACGCAAGUUGCGCCCGAAGCCAUCAGGCCGAGGGCACGUCUGCCUGGGCGUCACGCACCGUUGCCCUCCCAACAUCACCGUCCUUCGAGGCUACGUUUUGUUGCGAAGGCGCAUAUUGGCUUCCCGUGAGCCUCGCCUCGCGGUUGGCCCAAAAUCUUAGUCGUUGGCGACCCGUGCCGCGACGACGGUGGUUGUCGAAACUUCGGUGCCCUGUCGUGUGUGCGGGUCGUUCGUGAUGCAAGGACCCAACGCAUUCGAAUGUGAUGCCUCUCGAUGCGACCCCA